UACGGAGGGGGCUAGCGUUGUUCGGAAUUACUGGGCGUAAAGCGCACGUAGGCGGCUUUGCAAGUUAGAGGUGAAAGCCCGGGGCUCAACUCCGGAAUUGCCUUUAAAACUGCAUCGCUAGAAUUGUGGAGAGGUAAGUGGAAUUCCGAGUGUAGAGGUGAAAUUCGUAGAUAUUCGGAAGAACACCAGUGGCGAAGGCGACUUACUGGUCCAUGACUGACGCUGAGGCUCGAAAGCGUGGGGAGCAAACAGG
rnacentral:rRNA from 1 species